rnacentral:lncRNA from 1 species
CUCUUGGAAGCUCCUGUCUGUGAAGGGUGUGCACAGAGAGCUUCGGUAGCCUGCGAAGCAGCCAUUUUCACUUCCACGGAGCAGGUGCUGGCCUGGGUGCUGGAAUAUGGAAAUGAGGAAGAUCCUGCCUGAGGAUUUCAUGACAGGGCUGCGAUUACCGACGUGAGCCACUGUGCCCAGCCUCACUUUAAAAAAAAAAAAAGGUUAUGAAGCAUCUCAACACAAGACCUCCUUUGCUCAUCACAACCACCCAGUGAAGCAGGCAAGACAACAGAAACUCCCCACCUGUGAUAGAUGUGAGGCCUGAAGUCUCCCACAUACCCACGGCAGAUGCAACGCACAGCGGUGACCAAUGGUAGGGAUAACAAGUAUUGCUUCCGCCCAUUCAGUACUUCUUGCAUGCCAGAUCUGUGCUAAGUGCUAGAUGAACACAGUCUCUUUUCAUUCUCAUAGCUCUUUAAAACAGGUAUUGUUUUCUUUUAAAACAAAUUGUUUUGUUAAAUAUAAAUAUCAUGUACCUUAUAUAUAUAUUAUAUAUAAAAAUACAUGUAAUUUACCAUUUUAACCAUUUCAAAAUGUCCAGUUCAGGAGCAUUAAGUACAGUCACAUUGUUGUGCUACGCCAAGUUCCCAGAUAAAAAUGAGCAGAAGAGAGAGAGGAAACUUCUGGGUCACGCUUGUCAAAGAAAAAGGCAUUUCUUCCGUUCCACUUCCUCUUCCCACCCUGCUGCUGGAAUUCUGAUGUGCUCGUGUCCAUCUUCAACCACACAGGAGGAGGCUAACAGAGCUAAGGUGAAGGAUCUAAAACCUGAAAAGAGGCCAAAUGAUUCCUCAAAACCACGCAAGUACGAAGUAGCAGAGCGGAUCUCAAAUCCAGGCCAAUUUCCACCCUCUCUCUGGAAACUGUCAUUAGGGUUAGGGAAACUGUCAUGAGAUCUGCAUAUUUUAGAUAGAGGCUGCUUGCCUUAUUUGGGCACCUAAUGAAAAAGACAUGGAGGCCAGGUGCGGUGGCUCAUGUCUGUAAUCCCAGCACUUUGGGAGGCCAAGGCGAGUGGAUCACCUGAGGUCAGGAGUUCGAGACCAGCCUGACCAACAUGGCAAAACCCCGUCUGUACUAAAAGUGCAAACACAAAGGGAACUGCGUGGCUUGUUUCUACCUGAACAUUGUCAAGUGAUUUCAUCCUUUGAAACACAGUUGUGAAGUGUGUCCAGCAGUCUGAGAACAAGAAGAAGAAGAAAAUCUAAUCCUUCAGGGUGUCUGUGUGCCAGCCCUGCUCUCAGCACUUCCCAUGUGGAACUCCUUUACUUCUCCUAACAACUCCAUGACAUGGGUUAGACUGUGAUUGUUCCCAUAUUGUUGGUAGGGAAACUGAGGCAUGCAGGUGUUACAGAGCUCUCUCAAGUGGCAAGCUUUCUGGGUGGUUACAGAGUGGCAGAGCUGGGGUAUCCCAUGAUGUCACCACACUGCUAUAUGGAAAAGAACAUUAAUCGAGCACCUACGUGCUUGAUUCUCUUAAUUCUGUGACUGAACUCUCAAAACACCCUGGGAGUGAAAAAACUGGGAUUCAAAAAAAUUAAGUGACUUACCAAAUAUUACAGAGCUAGUAAGCCAAGACUUGAACACUGAGAUGGAAUUCUACCUUUUAAGGUGGCUAAGCAACAGAAGGAUGUUCCUUUCCCAAGGGGGUUGGUUUCCUUUUUACAACUGCCCAAGUCAUGAGUUCAUAGGGCCUGGAUGGCUGUACCGGAUUGCUCUCCAGCUGGUCUCUCUGCAUCCAGAAAUUUCUACAACCUACUGGGGUAAAAUCUUUCUCAACCCUGCUUUUCAUCAUCACAUCUUAAAUAUCUCGAGUUGGUUCCCUAUUGCCAAAAAAAAUCCAUUGUCCAUGUAGGGUUCUUCUGCCGAAACGAGGAAAGAGUGAGUUAAAUGUUGGUAGGUGAUAUAGAGAUAGUAAUUAGGCAAUAUAAUUCGAUGUUGUUGAAAGAGCUGAGCUAUGAAAUGCAUUGUGAUAAAGGGGCUGCCUGUGUAAGUAAAUGGGUAUAAUGAGGUGUAAAACUCCCUUUCUCUCUCUCUUUCUGCUUCAUAAGCCUUUCUGCUUCUCAAGUCCAGACCUGCUGUUUUUGGGGUUUCCUUCCAAUUUUUUUGCUGCUUCCCUGGGGCCUUGGCUCUUGGGCCUGCUGCCUCUUCCCACUCUACACCUUUGGAUUCCUUAUCUUUGGCUCCACCUUAUUGCUCCAUUCUCCAAAGACAAAUCCACAAGGCAUAGGAUUUUACAGAAUAUGGGGUUACAGAAACAGCAUAGGGAAGUGUAAAAGCCUAGAAGCUUCUUACAGACGCAGCCCCUUGUCUGUAGCUCCUGACUCCCACUUAAAUGUCUGUUGGAAGCACCCUGGGGUAGCAGAACCCAGCUCAGAAGAUGGGGCUUAUCCACCAUGCCUUUUCCUAACCUGACACCCACCCAGAUAAUCUUUUCAAUAUGCAAACUAGAGCGUAUCACCCCCUGCUCAGAGCCUUUCUGUGACCUCCCAUUUUGCUUCCCAGGACUCCUUGCUCCUUAGCCAGGUCUCCAGGUCCUCCGUGAUCAGGUCUCUGCUCUUCUGCAGCCUCAUCUCUGCCAUUCUUCACCUUUUGUGCUCCAACCCAAUCUGGUUUUCUUCUCAUGCUUUGAACACCCCAAGUCUGUCUGCUUCAGGAGCUUCGUACUGGCUAAUCAUUCACCACAGCAUACUCCCAUCUAUACGGCUGGCUCUUAUAUUAUGGGUCUCAGCUAAAAUGUCAUCCCUUCAAAGAGACCUUCUUGGACCACCCCCGCCAUUCUCUAUCCUAUUUCUCUCUUUUAUUUUCUUUGAAGCACUUACCCACUUUCAGAAACUAUCUGGCUUGCUCAUGUGUUUGUCUCUAGAUUGUCUACUUCCCCUCCUAGACUGUACUCUCCACAAGAGAGCAAAGCUGUGUCUGUUGCAUUCACUGUUGUCUUCCCAGAAGCAAGCAGCAUGCUGGAGACCCUCAAAUACAUGUGAAAUGAAGGGACACCUUGUGUUAUUUCACCUGUUUCCACCUGGUUCCCAAGUGGCAAGCUUGCAUUGAGGUUACAAAGUGGCAAAGCUGGGAUAUCACAUGAUGUCACCAUGAUGCUAUAUGAAAUGUAACAUUAAUUGAGUACCUAUGUGACCAGUUCUUUAAUUCUGUAAGUGAACUCUCAAAAAACCCUAGGUAAGUAUUAUCAACUCGAACUUUAACGGAUGAGGAAACUGGAAUUUUUUAAAAAAUGACUUAACCAAACAUCACAGAGCUGUAAACCAGGAUUUGAAUGGGUGAGCUGCACUCAGCCUUCAUCUCAAGUCAGUUUGCCUCUUUCUCCAAGAAGCCACAGUUGAUCCUGACCACAUCACAUAUGAGUUGCCUGGAUUGCAGUCAUUCAUUCACUAAGCAUCUUUUAGGAGGUCACAUGCCAGGCACCGUGUUAGGUAAUGAUUUCUCCAAGUCACAGGAGCCGUGGUUCUGACUUUAGAAAGUUUCUCAUCUGAUGGGAGGGCAGGCAAGUAAAUCAGUAAGGGUGGUCCCUGUCGGGACACUGGUUGAGAAAUACCCAGGAACACUCUGAUUGAGAAAUACCCAAAGUGCAAAGUGACAGGGACUAGAGGCAUCUCCACUGGACCAGAGAGCUCUGGAUUCGUCUUGAGCUAAGUCUCUGGAGGUAGGUGUCAGCUACAAGGAGAAAAGCUGUAUAUUUUGAGAUAUGGGAUGCAGGGCCUUUUAGUUCCAUAAAUAAGAGAACUAUGGUGUGAAUACCACAUGCCCUGGGCUGAACUAAGUGGGCUCUAGGGGAAGGUAUACUGGGCAGGGAGUUUGGAGAACUGGUUUCUGUCUAAUCCUUCUCUAACUCUGUGACCUUGAAUGCAUCAUUUCCCCUCUGAGUCUCAGAUUCUCUUUCUGGCUGGCAUUUAAUGAAACCUAAAUAUUCUAGACCUUCUACUUGUUCCAUAAGUGCUCAGUCCUACACUCACUCUCCUCUGGCACCAAUAUACUGAUUACUCAUUUUAUGCCCAGCAGAGCACUGCGUGUUUUGAAAUAUACAAAUAGUGGGAAACGAAAUCUUUGUUCUGGAUGCAGUUAUAAUUUGGAAAGCGAGGAAAUAAAUUAUAACAAGGGGAAAAAACAGGGCAUGGGGCCUGAUAAAUAGUAAGCCCUUGGUAAUAAUUACAUCUUCCGUGAUGCUAGACACAGAGGGAUUGAAAUGCAUAACAAUAGAGAUGAAACACGAAGAGUGAUAAAUGAAGAUUGAGUGUGCACACCUUCUGGAGGAGCCCUGAUUGAGUAUUUUAAGACAGAAGUGGGUGAGAGCAAAGUUGUGUCAGAGUAAGACAAUGACACCAAGCCAGAUGGUUAUCAAAAUCCACAGGAACAAAUGAAGAGAACCAGAAAUUGCAAAUAAGAAGGACAGAGUACCAGAGAGGAGAGAGAGGUACAGAGAAUUAUGGAGGUGGCUUCCGUUGAGUAUGCAGCUAAGUAAUGAUUAAUGCAUACAUAUAAGAAACUACUGGAUGACAGAGAAAGAACCACAAGCAAUUUAAAGGAUACUACUAAAGUCAUGCCGUGUGACUUCUGAAGCUAGCUCCUAAGAAGUCCUUGCAGCUUCUGCCUGCGACUCUUAGAACACUUGCUUUGAAGGAUGCCAGAUGCUGUCUUAAAAGUCUGAGCACUCUGAAACCAUCAUGCUGUGAGGAAGCCCAAGCUAACCACAUGGGCAAAAAAGAUGCCCUCUGACUGCCACCAUUUGAGACACUCUAAUUAAGAACUGCCUCAUUGAGCCCAUGAGGCCCUGUGAAUGAUAAUAAUAAAUUGUUUUUAACCACUAUGUUUUUGGAUUUGUUAUAAGUUUAUAGAUAACAAGAAAAAGUUAUAUUAGCAUGGUAAUAAAAUUAUGGAUAUGUGUAAGACUCCACGAAGAGGCCUUGGCUAGCUGCACAUCUCCCUACAUGGGUAUGUCAAGAUCACCAACUCUGCUUACAGCAGUUCCCAGAUGAAACUCUUCAUAAUUUCAGAUGCACCUUUAAUACCAGUGAAGGUUUACCUCCAGGCCCACAGUCUGGGUCUUUCCAGAGACACCCACAGCAAGAUGUCACCUGCUUUUUGAUGUCAUCAGAGUCAAACACAAACACCCACCACUGUGGUUUCCAUGUCUAAUUCGCAAAUGGCUUUAACUUUGAGCUGGCCCACAAUGUUGUAUUAACCCCACUCAGGUAUCAUCUUUCUCCGUGGGUGAACCCAUAGUGACCUUUCCUUCUGAUUCUUCUUUUACUCUAAGGGCAUGAUUUUGGCAAACUG